rnacentral:rRNA from 1 species
UUUGAUUCUGCUCAGGACGAACGCUGGCGGCGUGCCUAAUACAUGCAAGUCGAGCGGACCGACGGGAGCUUGCUCCCUUAGGUCAGCGGCGGACGGGUGAGUAACACGUGGGUAACCUGCCUGUAAGACUGGGAUAACUCCGGGAAACCGGGGCUAAUACCGGAUGCUUGAUUGAACCGCAUGGUUCAAUCAUAAAAGGUGGCUUUUAGCUACCACUUACAGAUGGACCCGCGGCGCAUUAGCUAGUUGGUGAGGUAACGGCUCACCAAGGCGACGAUGCGUAGCCGACCUGAGAGGGUGAUCGGCCACACUGGGACUGAGACACGGCCCAGACUCCUACGGGAGGCAGCAGUAGGGAAUCUUCCGCAAUGGACGAAAGUCUGACGGAGCAACGCCGCGUGAGUGAUGAAGGUUUUCGGAUCGUAAAACUCUGUUGUUAGGGAAGAACAAGUACCGUUCGAAUAGGGCGGCACCUUGACGGUACCUAACCAGAAAGCCACGGCUAACUACGUGCCAGCAGCCGCGGUAAUACGUAGGUGGCAAGCGUUGUCCGGAAUUAUUGGGCGUAAAGCGCGCGCAGGCGGUUUCUUAAGUCUGAUGUGAAAGCCCCCGGCUCAACCGGGGAGGGUCAUUGGAAACUGGGGAACUUGAGUGCAGAAGAGGAGAGUGGAAUUCCACGUGUAGCGGUGAAAUGCGUAGAGAUGUGGAGGAACACCAGUGGCGAAGGCGACUCUCUGGUCUGUAAACUGACGCUGAGGCGCGAAAGCGUGGGGAGCGAACAGGAUUAGAUACCCUGGUAGUCCACGCCGUAAACGAUGAGUGCUAAGUGUUAGAGGGUUUCCGCCCUUUAGUGCUGCAGCAAACGCAUUAAGCACUCCGCCUGGGGAGUACGGUCGCAAGACUGAAACUCAAAGGAAUUGACGGGGGCCCGCACAAGCGGUGGAGCAUGUGGUUUAAUUCGAAGCAACGCGAAGAACCUUACCAGGUCUUGACAUCCUCUGACAACCCUAGAGAUAGGGCUUCCCCUUCGGGGGCAGAGUGACAGGUGGUGCAUGGUUGUCGUCAGCUCGUGUCGUGAGAUGUUGGGUUAAGUCCCGCAACGAGCGCAACCCUUGAUCUUAGUUGCCAGCAUUCAGUUGGGCACUCUAAGGUGACUGCCGGUGACAAACCGGAGGAAGGUGGGGAUGACGUCAAAUCAUCAUGCCCCUUAUGACCUGGGCUACACACGUGCUACAAUGGGCAGAACAAAGGGCAGCGAAGCCGCGAGGCUAAGCCAAUCCCACAAAUCUGUUCUCAGUUCGGAUCGCAGUCUGCAACUCGACUGCGUGAAGCUGGAAUCGCUAGUAAUCGCGGAUCAGCAUGCCGCGGGUGAAUACGUUCCCGGGCCUUGUACACACCGCCCGUCACACCACGAGAGUUUGUAACACCCGAAGUCGGUGAGGUAACCUUUUGGAGCCAGCCGCCGAAGGUGGGACAGAUGAUUGGGGUGA